rnacentral:lncRNA from 1 species
UGACGUUCAAUUAUAGUGGACCCAUUUGUCCUUAAUGUUUCCAAAAUUAUCCUCUUUGCCUUCAAAAGCACGGUUGUUUCUUUCUUUCCAUAGGAUCCAAAAUAUUGUAAGGGGAACAAACCGAUAUUUCUUGUUUCGUUUGCAUAGAAAUUCUCGAGCUUUUAAUUCGCCUUGUAUAGUGCCCGCAGUACUCCAGCUGCUGCCAAGUAACCCAAGUACCAUGGACCAUAGAUUAUGAGUGAAAGGACAAUGAAGUAAGGAAUGGUUACAUGACUCAACAUCAUCUUCUUUGCAAAGAAAGCAUCUAUUUAGCCAGAAUAAUACGUCUUUUCAGGAGAUUGUCUAAGGUAAGAAUCCUUUCUUUGGUUGCUUCCCAUGUGAAAAAAAGAAACCCGAGGAGGGGUAGCACUGUUACAGAUCAUUUUUGUUGGGAAAUUCGGUCUACUUGUUCUGUUGUAUGGGCCAAAUAAUGAUAGACAGUCUUGACCGAGAAGUUACCAUUAUUACCAACUGUCCAGUGAAGCUUAUCAUUGUUAUCCAUGGGCUUUAUUGCUGAUAAGAGGGUUAAUAAACUUUCAAAUUCGUCGAUUUUCCCAAUCCUUCAAACUCCUAGCAACCCCGAUGUUCCAACCGCCACCAUUUACAAUGUCAAAAGCAUUCUCAACCAGCAUAUUCUUGUCUUUGGC